rnacentral:rRNA from 1 species
CCUACGGGUGGCAGCAGUGAGGAAUAUUGGUCAAUGGACGAGAGUCUGAACCAGCCAAGUCGCGUGAAGGAUGACUGCCCUCUGGGUUGUAAACUUCUUUUAUAUGGGAAUAAAAUGUUCCACGUGUGGGAUUUUGUAUGUACCAUAUGAAUAAGGAUCGGCUAACUCCGUGCCAGCAGCCGCGGUAAUCCGGAGGAUCCGAGCGUUAGCCGGAUUUAUUGGGUGUAAAGGGAGCGUAGGUGGAUUGUUAAGUCAGGUGUGAAGGUUUGCGGCUCAACCGUAAGAUUGCAGUUGAAACUGGCAGGCUGGAGUACAGUAGAGGUGGGCGGAAUUCGUGGUGUAGCGGUGAAAUGCUUAGAUAUCACGAAGAACUCCGAUGGCGAAGGCAGCUCGCUGGACUGCAACUGACACUGAGGCUCGAAAGUGUGGGUAUCAAACAGGAUUAGAUACCCCAGUAGUC